AGAGUUUGAUCCUGGCUCAGAUUGAACGCUGGCGGUAUGCUUUACACAUGCAAGUCGAACGGAUUAAGAAGCUUGCUUUUUAGUUAGUGGCGAACGGGUGGGUAAUAUAUCGGAACAUAUCCGGAAGUGGGGGAUAACGUAGCGAAAGUUACGCUAAUACCGCAUAUGCCCUGAGGGGGAAGGGGGGGAUCGCAGACCUCUCGCUUUCGGAGUGGCCGAUAUCGGAUUAGCUAGUAGGUGAGGUAAAGGCUCACCUAGGCGACGAUCCGUAGCGGGUCUGAGAGGACGACCCGCCACACUGGAACUGAGACACGGUCCAGACUCCUACGGGAGGCAGCAGUGGGGAAUUUUGGACAAUGGGCGAAAGCCUGAUCCAGCCAUACCGCGUGAGUGAAGAAGGCCUUCGGGUUGUAAAGCUCUUUCAGCCGGAAAGAAAUCGUAUCUAUUAAUACUAGAUGCGGAUGACGGUACCGGAAGAAGAAGCACCGGCUAACUACGUGCCAGCAGCCGCGGUAAA
rnacentral:rRNA from 1 species